rnacentral:rRNA from 1 species
AAAUUGAAGAGUUUGAUCAUGGCUCAGAUUGAACGCUGGCGGCAGGCCUAACACAUGCAAGUCGAACGGUAACAGGAAGCAGCUUGCUGCUUCGCUGACGAGUGGCGGACGGGUGAGUAAUGUCUGGGAAACUGCCUGAUGGAGGGGGAUAACUACUGGAAACGGUGGCUAAUACCGCAUAACGUCGCAAGACCAAAGAGGGGGACCUUCGGGCCUCUUGCCAUCAGAUGUGCCCAGAUGGGAUUAGCUUGUUGGUGAGGUAACGGCUCACCAAGGCGACGAUCCCUAGCUGGUCUGAGAGGAUGACCAGCCACACUGGAACUGAGACACGGUCCAGACUCCUACGGGAGGCAGCAGUGGGGAAUAUUGCACAAUGGGCGCAAGCCUGAUGCAGCCAUGCCGCGUGUAUGAAGAAGGCCUUCGGGUUGUAAAGUACUUUCAGCGGGGAGGAAGGUGUUGUGGUUAAUAACCGCAGCAAUUGACGUUACCCGCAGAAGAAGCACCGG